rnacentral:rRNA from 1 species
CUACGGGGGGCUGCAGUGGGGAAUAUUGGACAAUGGGGGAAACCCUGAUCCAGCAAUGCCGCGUGUGUGAAGAAGGCCUGCGGGUUGUAAAGCACUUUCGGUUGGGAGGACUGCUUCUAGCACUAAUAUUGUUGGAAGUUGACGUUACCUUCAGAAGAAGCACCGGCUAACUCCGGCCAGCAGCCGCGGUAAUACGGAGGGUGCAGCGUUAAUCGGAAUUACUGGGCGUAAAGCGCGCGUAGGCGGCUAGAUCAGUCGGGUGUGAAAGCCCCGGGCUUAACCUGGGAACUGCAUCCGAUACUGUCUAGCUUGAGUACAGGAGAGGAGAGUGGAAUUCCACAUGUAGCGGUGAAAUGCGUAGAUAUGUGGAGGAACACCAAUGGCGAAGGCAGCUCUCUGGCCUGAUACUGACGCUGAGGUGCGAAAGCGUGGGGAGCAAACAGGAUUAGAUACCCCAGUAGUC